UUUCCGUAGGUGAACCUGCGGAAGGAUCAUUAAAAAUGAAGCCGGGAAACCGGUCCUUCUAACCCUCGAUUAUCUUAAUUUGUUGCUUUGGUGGGCCGCGCAAGCACCGGCUUCGGCUGGAUCGUGCCCGCCAGAGGACACAACUCUGUAUCAAAUGUCGUCUGAGUACUAUAAAAUAGUUAAAACUUUCAACAACGGAUCUCUUGGUUCUG
rnacentral:misc_RNA from 1 species